GACAGAGGGUGCAAACGUUGUUCGGAAUUACUGGGCGUAAAGCGUGUGUAGGCGGUUAUGCAAGUCGGAUGUGAAAGCCCCGGGCUCAACCCGGGAAGUGCACUCGAUACUGCGUAACUUGAGUAUCGGAGAGGUUGGUGGAAUUCUCGGUGUAGAGGUGAAAUUCGUAGAUAUCGAGAGGAACACCGGUGGCGAAGGCGGCCAACUGGACGAAUACUGACGCUGAGACACGAAAGCGUGGGGAGCAAACAGG
rnacentral:rRNA from 1 species